rnacentral:rRNA from 1 species
CAUGAAGCCGGAAUCGCUAGUAAUCGCGGAUCAGAAUGCCGCGGUGAAUACGUUCCCGGGUCUUGUACACACCGCCCGUCACACCAUGGGAGUCGGAAAUGCCCGAAGCCGGUGGCCUAACCGAUAAGGGAGGAGCCGUCGAAGGCAGGUCUGAUGACUGGGGUGAAGUCGUAACAAGGUAGC